rnacentral:rRNA from 1 species
GUCCUUAGUUACCUAGCACGCUAUGGUGGGCACUCUAAGGAGACUGCCGGUGACAAACCGGAGGAAGGUGGGGAUGACGUCAAGUCAUCAUGGCCCUUACGGCCUGGGCUACACACGUGCUACAAUGGUCGGUACAAAGGGUUGCCAAGCCGCGAGGUGGAGCUAAUCCCAUAAAACCGAUCGUAGUCCGGAUCGCAGUCUGCAACUCGACUGCGUGAAGUCGGAAUCGCUAGUAAUCGUGAAUCAGAAUGUCACGGUGAAUACGUUCCCGGGCCUU